CAAAAUGUAGCUUAACUAAAGCAUUUCGCUUACACCGAACUUAUAUCCGUGCAACUCCGAUCAUUUUGA
rnacentral:tRNA from 6 species